UCGACCUGAGGUCAGGCAAGAACACCCGCUGAACUUAAGCAUAUCAAUAAGCGGANNNNAAGAAACUAACUAGGAUUCCCU
rnacentral:rRNA from 1 species